CGGGGGAACUGAAACAUCUAAGUACCCCGAGGAAAAGAAAUCAACCGAGAUUCCCCCAGUAGCGGCGAGCGAACGGGGAGGAGCCCAGAGCCUGAAUCAGUGUGUGUGUUAGUGGAAGCGUCUGGAAAGGCGCGCGAUACAGGGUGACAGCCCCGUACACAAAAAUGCACAUGCUGUGAGCUCGAUGAGUAGGGCGGGACACGUGGUAUCCUGUCUGAAUAUGGGGGGACCAUCCUCCAAGGCUAAAUACUCCUGACUGACCGAUAGUGAACCAGUACCGUGAGGGAAAGGCGAAAAGAACCCCGGCGAGGGGAGUGAAAAAGACCUGAAACCGUGUACGUACAAGCAGUGGGAGCACAGAGCAAUCUGUGUGACUGCGUACCUUUUGUAUAAUGGGUCAGCGACUUAUAUUCUGUAGCAAGGUUAACCGAAUAGGGGAGCCGAAGGGAAACCGAGUCUUAACUGGGCGUUAAGUUGCAGGGUAUAGACCCGAAACCCGGUGAUCUAGCCAUGGGCAGGUUGAAGGUUGGGUAACACUAACUGGAGGACCGAACCGACUAAUGUUGAAAAAUUAGCGGAUGACUUGUGGCUGGGGGUGAAAGGCCAAUCAAACCGGGAGAUAGCUGGUUCUCCCCGAAAGCUAUUUAGGUAGCGCCUCGUGAAUUCAUCUCCGGGGGUAGAGCACUGUUUCGGCAAGGGGGUCAUCCCGACUUACCAACCCGAUGCAAACUGCGAAUACCGGAGAAUGUUAUCACGGGAGACACACGGCGGGUGCUAACGUCCGUCGUGAAGAGGGAAACAACCCAGACCGCCAGCUAAGGUCCCAAAGUCAUGGUUAAGUGGGAAACGAUGUGGGAAGGCCCAGACAGCCAGGAUGUUGGCUUAGAAGCAGCCAUCAUUUAAAGAAAGCGUAAUAGCUCACUGGUCGAGUCGGCCUGCGCGGAAGAUGUAACGGGGCUAAACCAUGCACCGAAGCUGCGGCAGCGACACUGUGUGUUGUUGGGUAGGGGAGCGUUCUGUAAGCCUGUGAAGGUGUGCUGUGAGGCAUGCUGGAGGUAUCAGAAGUGCGAAUGCUGACAUAAGUAACGAUAAAGCGGGUGAAAAGCCCGCUCGCCGGAAGACCAAGGGUUCCUGUCCAACGUUAAUCGGGGCAGGGUGAGUCGACCCCUAAGGCGAGGCCGAAAGGCGUAGUCGAUGGGAAACAGGUUAAUAUUCCUGUACUUGGUGUUACUGCGAAGGGGGGACGGAGAAGGCUAUGUUGGCCGGGCGACGGUUGUCCCGGUUUAAGCGUGUAGGCUGGUUUUCCAGGCAAAUCCGGAAAAUCAAGGCUGAGGCGUGAUGACGAGGCACUACGGUGCUGAAGCAACAAAUGCCCUGCUUCCAGGAAAAGCCUCUAAGCAUCAGGUAACAUCAAAUCGUACCCCAAACCGACACAGGUGGUCAGGUAGAGAAUACCAAGGCGCUUGAGAGAACUCGGGUGAAGGAACUACGCAAAAUGGUGCCGUAACUUCGGGAGAAGGCACGCUGAUAUGUAGGUGAAGUCCCUCGCGGAUGGAGCUGAAAUCAGUCGAAGAUACCAGCUGGCUGCAACUGUUUAUUAAAAACACAGCACUGUGCAAACACGAAAGUGGACGUAUACGGUGUGACGCCUGCCCGGUGCCGGAAGGUUAAUUGAUGGGGUCAGCGCAAGCGAAGCUCUUGAUCGAAGCCCCGGUAAACGGCGGCCGUAACUAUAACGGUCCUAAGGUAGCGAAAUUCCUUGUCGGGUAAGUUCCGACCUGCACGAAUGGCGUAAUGAUGGCCAGGCUGUCUCCACCCGAGACUCAGUGAAAUUGAACUCGCUGUGAAGAUGCAGUGUACCCGCGGCAAGACGGAAAGACCCCGUGAACCUUUACUAUAGCUUGACACUGAACAUUGAGCCUUGAUGUGUAGGAUAGGUGGGAGGCUUUGAAGUGUGGACGCCAGUCUGCAUGGAGCCGACCUUGAAAUACCACCCUUUAAUGUUUGAUGUUCUAACGUGGACCCGUGAUCCGGGUUGCGGACAGUGUCUGGUGGGUAGUUUGACUGGGGCGGUCUCCUCCUAAAGAGUAACGGAGGAGCACGAAGGUUGGCUAAUCCUGGUCGGACAUCAGGAGGUUAGUGCAAUGGCAUAAGCCAGCUUGACUGCGAGCGUGACGGCGCGAGCAGGUGCGAAAGCAGGUCAUAGUGAUCCGGUGGUUCUGAAUGGAAGGGCCAUCGCUCAACGGAUAAAAGGUACUCCGGGGAUAACAGGCUGAUACCGCCCAAGAGUUCAUAUCGACGGCGGUGUUUGGCACCUCGAUGUCGGCUCAUCACAUCCUGGGGCUGAAGUAGGUCCCAAGGGUAUGGCUGUUCGCCAUUUAAAGUGGUACGCGAGCUGGGUUUAGAACGUCGUGAGACAGUUCGGUCCCUAUCUGCCGUGGGCGCUGGAGAACUGAGGGGGGCUGCUCCUAGUACGAGAGGACCGGAGUGGACGCAUCACUGGUGUUCGGGUUGUCAUGCCAAUGGCACUGCCCGGUAGCUAAAUGCGGAAGAGAUAAGUGCUGAAAGCAUCUAAGCACGAAACUUGCCCCGAGAUGAGUUCUCCCUGACCCUUUAAGGGUCCUGAAGGAACGUUGAAGACGACGACGUUGAUAGGCCGGGUGUGUAAGCGCAGCGAUGCGUUGAGCUAACCGGUACUAAUGAACCGUGAGGCUUAACCUU
rnacentral:rRNA from 1 species